GCUGCGGGCUCCGGACUUUGACAAUCCCCGAGUGCGAUCCCAGGUCAGGCGGGGCUACCCGCUGAGUUUAAGCAUAUCAAUAAGCGGAGGAAAAGAAACUAACGAGGAUUCCCUUAGUAGCGGCGAGCGAAUCGGGAAGAGCCCAGCAUGAAAAUCGUCCGUC
rnacentral:rRNA from 1 species